rnacentral:rRNA from 1 species
GACGAACGCUGGCGGCGUGCUUAACACAUGCAAGUCGAACGGUGAACCUCUUCGGAGGGGAUCAGUGGCGAACGGGUGAGUAACACGUGGGCAACCUGCCCCCGGCUCUGGGAUAACUCCAAGAAAUUGGGGCUAAUACCGGAUGUUCACCGCUUCCCGCAUGGGUGGUGGUGAAAAGGGUUUCCGGCUGGGGAUGGGCCCGCGGCCUAUCAGCUUGUUGGUGGGGUAGUGGCCUACCAAGGCGACGACGGGUAGCCGGCCUGAGAGGGUGACCGGCCACAACGGGGACGGGAAACGGGCCCAACUCCCAAGGGGAGCAAGAGGGGGGGAUAAUGGGGAAGGGGCCGAAGGCUGACGGAGGGAAGGCGGGGGGGGGAUGACGGCCUUCGGGUUGUAAACCUCUUUCAGCAGGGACGAAGCGCAAGUGACGGUACCUGCAGAAGAAGCACCGGCCAACUACGUG